GAUGAACGCUGGCGGCGUGCCUAAUACAUGCAAGUCGAGCGAACAGACGAGGCGCUUGCUCCUCUGACGUUAGCGGCGGACGGGUGUGUAACACGUGGAUAACCUACCUAUAAGACUGGGAUAACUUCGGGAAACCGGAGCUAAUACCGUAUAAUCUAUUGCACCGCAGGGUUCAAUAGUGAAAGACGGUUUUGCUGUCACUUAUAGAUGGUUCCGCGCCGCAUUAGCUAGUUGGUAAGUUAACAGCCUACCAAGGCAACGAUGCGUAGACGAGCGGAGAGAGUGAUAGGCCACACUGGAACUGAGACAGGCUCCAGACUCCUACGGGACGCAGCAGUAGGGAAUCGUCCGCAGUGGGCGAAAGCUUGACGGAGCGACGCCGCGUGAGUGAUGAAGGUCUUCGGUUCGUAAAACUCUGUUAUUAGGGAAGAACAAAUGUGUAAGUAACCAUACACGUCUUGACGGUACCUAAUCAGAAAGCCACGGCUAACUACGUG
rnacentral:rRNA from 1 species